rnacentral:rRNA from 1 species
AGUGAACGCUGGCGGUAGGCCUAACACAUGCAAGUCGAACGGCAGCACAGUAAGAGCUUGCUCUUACGGGUGGCGAGUGGCGGACGGGUGAGGAAUACAUCGGAAUCUACUUUUUCGUGGGGGAUAACGUAGGGAAACUUACGCUAAUACCGCAUACGACCUACGGGUGAAAGCAGGGGAUCUUCGGACCUUGCGCGAUUGAAUGAGCCGAUGUCGGAUUAGCUAGUUGGCGGGGUAAAGGCCCACCAAGGCGACGAUCCGUAGCUGGUCUGAGAGGAUGAUCAGCCACACUGGAACUGAGACACGGACCAGACUCCUACGGGAGGCAGCAGUGGGGAAUAUUGGACAAUGGGGGCAAGCCUGAUACAGCCAUACCGCGUGGGUGAAGAAGGCCUUCGGGUUGUAAAGCCCUUUUGUUGGGAAAGAAAAGCAGCAGGUUAAUACCCCGCUGUUCUGACGGUACCCAAAGAAUAAGCACCGGCUAACUUCGUG